GACGAACGCUGACGGCACGCUUAACACAUGCAAGUCGAACGAGAUCCUCGGAGCUUGCUCCGAGGGGACAGUGGCGAACGGGUGAGUAACACGUGAGGAACCUGCCCCGAAGACCGGAAUAACACCGGGAAACCGGUGCUAAUACCGGAUGCCCUCACCGGACCGCAUGAUCCGGUGAGGAUAUGGAUUCCGCUUCGGGAUGGCCUCGCGGCCUAUCAGCUUGUUGGUGGGGUAACGGCCUACCAAGGCUUCGACGGGUAGCUGGUCUGAGAGGAUGUCCAGCCACACUGGGACUGAGACACGGCCCAGACUCCUACGGGAGGCAGCAGUGGGGAAUCUUGCGCAAUGGACGAAAGUCUGACGCAGCGAUGCCGCGUGCGGGAUGAAGGCCCUCGGGUUGUAAACCGCUUUCAGCAGGGACGAAAUUGACGGUACCUGCAGAAGAAGCCCCGGCCAACUACGUGCCAGCAGCCGCCGUAA
rnacentral:rRNA from 1 species